ACAGAACUGUAUCUUUUCUACCAUUGCAGGAAGAAAACAUUAGACCCCGGCACCGGAAGGGCACGGAGAUCAGGCUCAUUUUUUGUGAAGAAGACCAAGGGAGAAAAACUGUGUAAUGGUAACAACAGGCUGAGAGAAAGUGGAGCAGAUGGCUCCAUCGGAUUCCUGAAUGGGGGCGCAGAAACUUCCAUUUCUUAUGCAGCGCUCAGGUUCCCUCCAAGUUUGUCUGAGGAACGCACUGUUUAUGCCAGUGUCAAAGCACCACAGCCUUUGGAUGAUGCCGUGAUCUACACUGUGGUAAAGAAACCCAAGCUCCCCGCAAAGGGAGACACCAAACCUGACUAUGAGAACGUGGUGAACAAGAACGAAGAGGAGCUGCAUUACUCAUCCUUGGUGAACCUGGGCCCAUGGCCUCGCCCCACCUAUGUAGACUCUGAAACAGACUCUGAAUCGGAGGAGAGCAUCCAGUAUGCAUCCUUGAAGCACUGAUCCUCUUGGAACUAGCAGAGAUCAGGAGCUGCUCCUAGACUCUUUCCCCUCUGUGUUGAGGUGGUGCCAGUGGCUGGGCCUGUAUUAUAGCUUGCUCUUUGCAAUGAAAUGCAGCAGAACUUGAGCGGGUAGUGCAGAUGAUCUGGCUGUACUGGGAGACAAGCAAGGCUGAGGUUUAGAUAGAUAUGGUGCAUCACUGCCAGCACAGUGCUCCACCUAUCAACACAUUUCAUUGGUGACCGAGAUCAGUAUCCCCAAGUCUUGUCUUUCCCAUCAGAUCAUAUGGGAAAUCUGCUAUUCCUUCCUUCCUUCCUUCCUUCCUUCCUUCCUUCCUUCCUUCCUUCCUUCCUUCCUUCCUUCCUUCCUAACAAGUCAAUCCAUACUUGCAACAUAGAAAACUGCUCUCUGUAUAUUCCAGGUGAGACUAUUCAUUCAUCCUGUCCAAUAUCAUCAAUCUUGGCUAGAAGCAGCUCUGCAGGACCAGAGGUCUUUCCUAUCAUCUGCUGCCUGAGCCUUUGAACUGGACAUGUCACAGAUCAAACCUCUGUGUGGAUCCUUCCACUCAGCUAUGGUUGCAUUUGGCUCAGGGAUUCCCAAACUGGGUGGGGUCCUGCUGUGCCUUGAAAGGGAUGGGGAAGAUAUUUGAUUCAGAUCAUGUUUUAUGGUAAACUUAAAGAAUUCUCAUUUCCCAAAGCCGCACACAAACCGAAACACAGUUGUCCCUCAAAAUUCUCACUUCUGCAAAUUUUGCAAUGCAGUUCUCCAACCAUGCAAUGUGUUUAAAGAGGUAUAUGCAAAGUGGGCAUAUAUAUAUCUCUUUGUGUGUGUCCCAACUUUUCAUAUCAAGUGGGCCACAAGGGUACUUUGACAUGAAACCUGUGGGCCUCACGCUGCCUUGUUGUGCACAUGGGGGGAACAAGGCCAACAUUUGACCCCCUGUCAGCCCUCAUUCUACCUUCCCAAAGCUGAGUCAGCGAGGUGCUGACUUUGUGAAUGAGGUGGGAGGACUCUAGGACCCCAUCAGAGCCAUUGUGCCUCCUUCCCAAAGCCCACUGCCUUGCUUACCUGGCUUUGGGAAGGCAGUGCAAGGGCUGUGAGGGAACAUCAAAUGUUGCAGAGGGCUGCCAAAAAGACAUUGAAACCUUGAGAGAAAGACCACAAUGGACCACCCGUGUGUGUGUGUGUGUGUGUGUGUGCGCGCAUCUAUUAGUGAAAACAACAUGGGAAAAUGUAGUAUAUAAAGGGAAGUUGUUUUGCAAAAUGUGCAUUAGGCAAAAUUGCAGACAAAUAUGUGCAUAUUGGGGGAGAUUCACACUAAAAUGGGUUAUGAAUUUUCAUGUAGAUUGAUGUGGAAAUGUGAAGAACUGAGCUUGGAAAGAAUGAGAAACUGAGAGAAACCAAAACUGACACAUUCACCUAUACUGCCAGGAACUUCUUGCAGAGGCAAGAGGGCCAGAGGCUGACCCAGGGGAAGGGAUGGGUGAUAUAUGGGCUUUUGUGCCAUCCAAGAGGCAUGAGCUAGGGCUGGAGGAAGAGGGAGAGUCUGAGCAGUUCAAGAUGAGGUAGGAGGCACAGGAUGUGUCAGAAGUGGAGGAGGAGACUGUUGCUGAGGGGCGGGGUGGUCAAAUCCCCACUGCUGCCUUCUCCACAGUCUCCAAGGACCAGGAGGGCUGGAAGAGGCAGGCAUUGUGUGUAGGUUGCAAGUUGCUUGUGCAUGCCCUGUCAGGCAAGGGGUACUUAAGUCUGAAGGGGGGCAUGGUCACACUAUUGCACCAACAGCCUAGUUCGGGGCACAAGCCUGGGGCGGGGAUGCCAGCUAUUUAGUUGCCAAAACUGUGUGUCCUUGUUCUGUGCCCCUUAGGAGCUACAUUAAGUGUGUGCUUUAUCAAUAAAUGAUUAAACAACUGGUCAUUUGUCCUCCUUGGGCCAAAGGAUACUUAUGUA